rnacentral:sRNA from 1 species
CACAGCUUUGCAGUUGCCCUCCAAUUCAUCAGCUGACGUUGAUCCAUUCACACCACACCACACAAUACUCCAGCAGCCGAAGCAGCACUGACGAUUCUAGUACAACGGAGUUUAAGCAAUCUCAUGGAAGUGGAAUGUGGUUAUGCCUUCUGACUGUCAGCCCUGGUGCUAAUCCGCAGUAUGCUGCCCCCUUCUUGUACAGCUUCAUUUGACUUAGGAAGAUCGUAGCACGGUUACUGUAUUUACUUAGGGACUUAGGUACGAUUGACGCCCAAGGCGUGUAGCCAAGCCGUACAUCUCCUUGUGGAGACAGCCGAACGGACUGUACCGUGGUUUUUUUUCGCGUACACUCGUAGUUGUAGCCUGUAGCAAAGCUGCAGUUUAGUACUAGUACUAGUAGUCGUCUUGGUGUUUAUUUGAUGUUUAAAUAGCGUAUGCAUAUAU